GUGACGAGGCCUAGUCCCGUUGCAAAGCCUCCGGCCUCGCCUAGAUUACCCGGCCGGCCGAGGCUGUGGGCUGGGCCGCUACCACCCCCCCCACCCCGCGCUACAAUAAUCCUAUUUAAUCGCUAUAAUUUUAGUAUCUACCGAGCCUAUAAUAGUAAGCGCACACAUUGGGGUGGAGGGGGAGAGAAGAGGACGUGACACUUUGAUGAAUUUACCUCAGCGUCGCGUGUAAACUUUUUGCAUUUUGAAUGAGAAAUGGCGUCCUCCCCUGCGGCGACGGCGUCCGUGCGUUGCCAGGGGCAACAACUCGCGUCAGCGUUUCGCGCAUGCGCAGCAGCGAGCCGGUCGGCAAAGACUACAGGUGACCGGGAUGCCAGCACCGGACCCAUCGGCGUCCAUGGCUGAAGACGCAGCCGCAGCAUCGGCCGAGGACUAGGCCACAGGACGGGGCCCCUUAACCCGCUCACGCUCACACCGCCUCGUCGCAGCUGUGGACACGGACAUCCCUGCAACCCUGUUGUGUUCGGUCGAGGGAUCGGAUCUGGGGGGAAGACUGCGACAGAGGCGGCGCUCUUGUUAACAAGGAGACGGAGGGGGAAUUGUGUUGUGUUACUUUUGCUUUAUUGCACAUUUUUGGUUGUUGUUGUUUAAAUUGCAUGUGCCCGGCCGCAAUUGGCUUUGAACGGCCGAGGCAUACAGUUGUUGAGCUGAGGACGGCAUUGUCUCAAGGAAGGGGGGGGGGGUGAUAUAAGGGAUCUGCGAACCACCCUCACGCACACGCACCACGCAGACAUGAAAUCUCCGCACUCAGUAUAGCACGCACCAAUCACACGCACGGGAAUACACUAGACGGGGGUCAAGGGUUAAAGGGCACUGACGUCACCCAGACCAGGCAUGCGAGAUGAGGAUCUGUAUUGGGAACGAGGGCGGAGAUGGAGGGGUUAAAAGGGGCUGUGAAAUGCGUGUUCGGGGUUGGUUUUAGAACGAGUGUCGUGUCGCUGUGGGUUGACGAAUAAAGAAGCGCUUAACCAGU